rnacentral:rRNA from 1 species
UACCAGCACCCCGAGUGGUCGGGACGUUUAUUGGGCCUAAAGCAUCCGUAGCCGGUUCUACAAGCCUUCCGUUAAAUCCACCUGCUUAACAGAUGGGCUGCGGAAGAUACUAUAGAGCUAGGAGGCGGGAGAGGCAAGCGGUACUCGAUGGGUAGGGGUAAAAUCCGUUGAUCCAUUGAAGACCACCAGUGGCGAAGGCGGCGAGCUGGUCCAUUACUGACGCUGAGGCGCGACAGCGUGGGGAGCAAACAGG